UUAAAAAAGUGAGCGAACAACUUUGAUGAUUCAUUUAUGCGUUGGGUUAAUUCUCGCAUACCUACUAUUCCUAAUUGGUAUCAACAGAACAAAGAACAAAAAACUUUGCACGGCAAUAGCAGUAUUUCUGCAUUAUAUUUUCCUUGUUGUAUUUGGUAUAAUGUUUGUACAUGGAAUCCAACUUGCCAUAGCAGUACAAUAUGUUUUCAAGACGAAAUUCAAUUUGAAAACUCUUCUUGCCAUAGCAUGGGGUUUACCAGCUGGUAUUGUUGCCAUUUCAAUGUGCGCGUCAAUGCUAGACGGCUAUGGGAAUAAGAAUCUAUGCUGGUUAACGUCAGACAAUGGGUUGAUCUGGUCAUUUGUUGGUCCAGCCAUUGCUAUUAUUUCUUUCAAUGCAAUAUGUCUAUGUCUGGUUAUACGUGCUAUUAUCGUACAAGAGCAGUAAAGAUACAGCCAGUUGGCAAGAAAAUAAAAACAAGUAUAUGGGCACUGUGUGUAAUGCUUCCACUACUAGGAAUUACAUGGAUUGUUGGAAUGUUUUACAUGGGAGAUAAGUCAGACUCUGUACAGUACAUAUUUGCAGUUUUUAAUGGACUACAGGGAGUGUUCAUAUUUAUCUUUCAGUGCGUCCUAAAUAAACAGGUUAAAAAGGCAAUGCGAGGAAAUGAACAGAAAGAGAAAGUAUCAUCAAGAAAAUUUACGCAAGAGGUGGUAGUAUAAGUGACGCAAAAAUCGACCACGGAAGAUCUGUUUCAUCGACAGAAUGUCUACAAUUGUCAAGUCUUUGAAUUAUACAAAGAUGACGGUUUAAUCACUUGAAAACUUUUAAAUCAAUAUGGAAAAUAAUAAUACAAGAAAGAUCUUAAUAUAAAAUCCUAUUCGUCUAAUUUUGUCGAGAUGAAAAGACAUUUAAUAAAAAUAUAUGCAGUUAAGUAGCAAUAAACAACAAAAUAUUAUAGGUGGGAAAAUGUUGCUACAGCUACAUCAUGGAGAUGGAUCAUAUAGAAAUGUAUCUAUCACAAAUUUGUCUUUCAAAAAGAGCUCUCAAAUUACAUUUUUUAUAUAUUUGAUGUAAGUAUGGCAAUGAAACAAAAAUUUCAUUUAGAGCGUAUUUAAAUUUAUUUUUAUAUUAAGCUAUGAUUUUGAAUUUAUAGAAGAUUCUUUGAAUUCUGAUUUUAAGACUCAGUAUUUAUUUCUCAAUUGUAUGAUAAAUGCUUAUCAAAAUUAGCUUUGAAUUCAAAUGUAUCGUGUGAAAAAUGUUACGUCACUUUA